UACGUAGGGGGCAAGCGUUGUCCGGAAUUAUUGGGCGUAAAGAGCGCGUAGGCGGUCCGAUAAGUCGGCUGUGAAAGUCAGGGGCUCAACCCUUGAAAGCCGGCCGAUACUGUCGGACUAGAGUCCGGAAGAGGCAAGUGGAAUUCCCGGUGUAGCGGUGAAAUGCGCGGAUAUCGGGAGGAACACCAAUGGCGAAGGCAGCUUGCUGGGACGGUACUGACGCUGAGGCGCGAAAGCGUGGGGAGCAAACAGG
rnacentral:rRNA from 1 species